CUUGAAAAUCCUGCACCAACAAACAACAUAUUUAGCACAAACAGAAAUUCCUUAGAAGAGAUUAUACGCAUCUAACUAUAAUAUGAGACAUCAAAACAAUAUUGGUAACCACUAAAUGGAGUGAUAUAAAUCAGAUAAUAUCCUUAUUUUGGUGCAAAUAUUAGCUGAAAAAUGUUGAAAUAUAAAUCGUUAAUACUGAAUAAGGAGAGUUCUGUGCAACAAGGCAAUUGAGAAUGAGAAAAGAAUGAGAGGAAGAGCAAUCAAGAGUUACUCUGACCUGAAAAUGAUUUUGAUAUGACGAGUAUUUCAAAAGGGGAAAAGGCAGGGGAGAAAAAUCAACAUAAAUCAUAAACACUGAAUAAUGAAAGUUCUGUGCAACAAGGCAAAUGUGAAUGAGAAAAGAAUGAGUGAAAAGCAAUCCAGAGUAUUCUGACCUGAAAAUGAUUUUGAUAUGAC
rnacentral:misc_RNA from 1 species